rnacentral:rRNA from 1 species
AAUCUUCCACAAUCGACGAAAGUCUGAUGAAGCAACGUCGCGUGUGUGAAGAAGGUUUUCGGAUCGUAAAGCUCUGUUGUGAGGGACGAACAAGUACAGGAGUCACUGUCUGUACCUUCACGGUACCUCACAACAAAGCCACGGCUAACUACGUCACAGCAGCCGCGGUAAUACGAAGGUGGCAAGCGUUGUCCGGAAUUAUUGGGCGUAAAGCGCGCGCAGGCGUUACUUUAAGUCUGAUGUGAAAACCCACGGCUCAACCGUGGAGGGUCAUAGGAAACUGGAGGACUUGAGUACAGAAGAGGAAAGCGGAAUUCCACGUGUAGCGGUGAAAUGCGUAGAGAUGUGGAGGAACACCAGUGGCGAAGGCGGCUUUCAGGUCUGUAACUGACGCUGAGGCGCGAAAGCGUGGGGAGCAAA